rnacentral:rRNA from 1 species
CUAUCGGAGAGUUUGAUCCUGGCUCAGGACGAACGCUGGCGGCGUGCCUAAUACAUGCAAGUCGAGCGGAGAUUUGGGAGCUUGCUCCCAAAUCUUAGCGGCGGACGGGUGAGUAACACGUGGGCAACCUGCCCUGCAGACUGGGAUAACUCCGGGAAACCGGAGCUAAUACCGGGUAAUACAUCGCACCGCAUGGUGCAAUGUUGAAAGUUGGCUUUCUGAGCUAACACUGCAGGAUGGGCCCGCGGCGCAUUAGCUAGUUGGUAAGGUAAUGGCUUACCAAGGCGACGAUGCGUAGCCGACCUGAGAGGGUGAUCGGCCACACUGGGACUGAGACACGGCCCAGA